rnacentral:lncRNA from 1 species
AGCUCCAGCUCUUUGCCCUUUCCAAUUCCCCAGGCUCUGUUCUACUGGAACGGUUUUCUUCUCAGCUAAACUCUUCUUUCACCCCCACACCAUUGCAGCUGCUUAAAGGUUUCCAGCCCGUUCCACAUCUUGGCAGAUUAUUCUACUGUAAGGCUUAUAGAGGCAGAGGAAUCACCAAGUCUGGAAUGGAUGCAGGGCCCAAGUUUUGGGGACCGGGAGGC